rnacentral:rRNA from 1 species
GUUGAACGCUGGCGGCAGGCCUAACACAUGCAAGUCGAACGGGUGGCGGAGGGGUGAGUAAUGUCUGGGAAACUGCCUGAUGUAGGGGGCUGACUACGGGAACAGUUGGCUAAUACCGCAUACCAUGAGAUGUGCCCAGAUGGGAUUAGCUAGUGGGUGGGGUAACGGCGCACCAAGGCGACGAUCCCUAGCUGGCCUGAGAGGAUGACCAGCCACACUGGGACUGAGACACGGCCCAGACUCCUACGGGAGGCAGCAGUGGGGAAUCUUGCGCAAUGGGCGCAAGCCUGAUGCAGCAAUGCCGCGUGUAUGAAGAAGGCCUUCGGGUUGUAAAGUACUUUCAUCGGGGAGGCGUUACCCGCAGAAGAAGCACCGGCUAACUCCGUGCCAGCAGCCGCGGUAAUAC